GAUAUUGUUUUCGUGAAAAGUCAUUCACAGCUUGUUCGUGGUAUCUAAAUGAGCCUACAUCCGUUUGCUUAUCAUUGAGUGCUUGGUGGGCUUAAAUGAAAGAGAUUUUGCGAGCAGUACUCCACAAGCCGAUUUUACAACAAACCGGCGGUUCAAAGGACGGUUGGAAACUCCCAAAAGAAUUGACGCCGUGAAAGCAAACUAUGGCUGCAGCAUUUGUUACUGUUCUGUUGAUUAUGUUAGUUGCUGGUGAAUAUAUUGAUGAAAUUGACGGCUUGCUCCGCGCUGGCAGAGAUCGAAUCGAGAAGGAGUCACGUGACGAUUAUAUGCACAAAAGAGAGGCUGCUGAUAUGCGCGAAUAUCGACUUCCUUUUUACUCAAGAAGAAGCAGAAUCCAAAAUUCUGAGGAGUGACCUUCAAACUCACAGACGUUUCUUAAGCCGAUCUUUUAUAACCUAAAUAUGUGAUUAGUACCUAAAAUACGAGCAUUGUAAAGAAUAAAAGGAUCUUCAUCAUAAGAGUUACUUUAUAAUUGAAGAACUAUACUGAACAAUAUAAUUUCUGCAGAUUUAAA